rnacentral:lncRNA from 10 species
UCCACACUGUGGAAACUUUGUUCUUUCGCUCUUUGCAAUAAAUCUUGCUACUGCUCACUCUUUGGGUCCACACUGCCUUUAUGAGCUGUAACACUCACUGUGAAGGUCUGCAGCUUCACUCUUGAGGCCAGCGAGACCACGAACCCACCGGGAGGAAGGAGCAACUCCAGACGUGCCGCCUAAAGAGCUGUAACACCGCGAAGGUCCGCAGCUUCACUCCUGAGCCAGCGAGACCACGAACCCACCAAAAAGAACAAACUCCGAACACAUCCGAACAUCAGAAGGAACAAACUCCAGACACGCCACUUUUAAGAACUGUAACACUCACUGUGAGGGUCCGCAGCUUCAUUCUUGAAGUCAGUGAGACCAAGAACCCACCAAUUCCGGACACAAUUCCAACUAGGCAAUGUCAAAACUAGUUACUCUUGGGAGUCCGAGGCAGGUGGAUCAUGAGGUUAAGAGUUCAAGACCAGCCUGGCAAAGAUGGUGAAACCCCGUAUCUACUAAAAAUACAAAAAUUAGCCAGGUAUGGUGGUGGGCGCCUGUAAUCCCAGCUACUCGGGAGGCUGAGGCAGAGAAUUGCUUAAAGCUGGGAGGCAGAGGUUGCAGUGAGCCGAGAUCGUGCCACUGCACUCUAGCCUGGGCGACAGAAGGAGACUCUGUCUCAAAAACAAACAAACAAACAAAAAACCUAGUUACUCGACAACAUACCUGCUGUAAGCCCUGGACACUCAGACAUGAAGUGGAGAGAAGUGACUUGGAAAAUUUAAAAAGUGCUAUUUUAUGGGACAAAUUCUUACUGAAUCCACCAGAAAGUGGUAGAUGUGGGUCUUGAACUCAGGUCUGUGUGACUUGAAGCACAGUGUUUUCCACUGUACCCCAUGAAGGCACCAAGUCUGUGUGUGGGCACAGAAGUUGUAGAAUCUACUAUGAGAAGUUGGAAAAGCACUAAAUACAAAUUUUGACAAUUUGACAAUUUGCCUCAGGCUGCUCUGGUUUCUGGAAACCAGUUAAUGAUGGGAUGAUGUGGUAGAAAAUAUUAAUGAGGAUAACUGGUACUACAAAACUCCCACAGACACUCAGACAUUGCCUCAAACUUUCCCUAGAAAUCUACAAAUUAUUGUGACUAUACGAAGCAGUACUUAUUUAUUAGCUGCUGAGGCUGGACUAACGGUGGCAAUUGCUUUGGGGAUUUCACUACCAGGAGACAGAGAAUCUCCACAUAGGAAACCUGAGGUUUGCAAUGGGGUUUGCUGCUGGAGCAAGAAACAUUUAUCUUCUAACAUGAGGAACAUCUGCAAGGUAUGCCAAAUUGCAGUGUUCACUGAAGACACGUAGAGGACGGUCAAUAAGGUGAAAAUUUCUCAUGACAAAAGGAAAUCAUCUUGUGCAAACCAAAAGUUUCUCAGUUUUGGUUACUGGCUAGAAUCCAGGAUUCUUAUGUAACUCUGGGAAACAACAAUGGACCCCCAAACAGGUAGAUUUUUGAAGCUGUGUAUCUUAGAAUGUUUAGCAACAUUUUAAUUGUUUCCAUUUUAUUUAUCGAAGAGAGAUUCCCUCUUCGAUAACUAAGAUGGAAACAAAAAUUUGAUAGUCUCUGGGCUAUUAAUCUUGAAAGGAAGAAAAAAAUCACGAGAUGUCUCAAAGUAAAUAUUUGGAUGUUAAAAAAGAGAAAGAGAUACAAACUUUGAAUACAUCUUUGAAAACUGAGCACACUGCUCCUGAAAGUUAUCCCAUAGAAGAGUUAAAAAACCAGAAAAACAGGAGCUUUCAAUGGCAUAAUCAAUCUGUGGAUAGCUUAAUUCAUGAUUUUAGUCAUGUGAUAUUAAUACAAAAUUUCAUAACUUAAAGGAAAAUUUCAAAGUUAGCUUGUAGGUCUCCACUCCUUUAGGACUUAAGGUCUGUAGAGUUUUACUCUAACUAGAACCUACGGCAAGAACGCUAGGUAACAAGGUGGUCAUUUUUUUACCUCCCCGGUUUGUAAAACCCUCAGUCCCUUUCAUUUCUCAGACACUUUGGAUUAAACAAGAUGUGUUUUCAAACUACUUUGUCUCUUAAUUUUUAAACCCUUGUUUAUUUUAACUUAAAUUUAAUCCACAUGUUUCUGAUUCAUUUACAC